rnacentral:rRNA from 1 species
AAUAUUGGACAAUGGGCGAAAGCCUGAUCCAGCCAUCCCGCGUGUGUGAUGAAGGUCUUCGGAUUGUAAAGCACUUUAGGUUGGGAGGAAGGGCUUUCGGCUAAUACGCCGUAGUGUUGACGUUACCUACAGAAUAAGCACCGGCUAACUCGGUGCCAGCAGCCGCGGUAAUACAGAGGGUGCAAGCGUUAAUCGGAAUUACUGGGCGUAAAGCGCGUGUAGGUGGUUGAGUAAGAUGGGUGAGAAAUCCCCGGGCUUAACCUGGGAAGUGCUUUCAAAACUGCUGAGAUAGAGUACGAUAGAGGGUAAUGAAACUUCCUGUAUCGGGGUGAAAUGCGUAGAUAUAGGAAGAAACACCAGUGGCGAAGGCGACUACCUGGAAAGAUACUGACACUGAGGUGCGAACGCGUGGGGAGAAAAC